rnacentral:RNase_P_RNA from 1 species
UAACGGCAGCCGAGGGCGACCUUAGGGCCAGUGCAACAGAAAAGAGACUUCCUCCCUUCGGGGCGGUAAAGGUGGAAUGGCGAGGUAAAAGCUCACCAGAAUGCAGGAGACUGCAUUGCUGUGUAAACCCUAUCCGAUGCAACGCCUGAUGGUGUCAGAUGUCGCAAACAUUUGCCCGAUGGACAUUCUGACAAUGGCGGCUUGAACCAUGUGGCGACAUAUGGUCUAGAUAAAUCACUGUACACGACAAAAUCCGGCUUAUUGUCUGGUCAUACCA